rnacentral:rRNA from 1 species
UACGUAGGGGGCAAGCGUUGUCCGGAUUUAUUGGGCGUAAAGAGCUCGUAGGCGGUCUGUCACGUCGGCUGUGAAAACCCGAGGCUCAACCUCGGGCCUGCAGUCGAUACGGGCAGACUAGAGUUCGGUAGGGGAGACUGGAAUUCCUGGUGUAGCGGUGAAAUGCGCAGAUAUCAGGAGGAACACCGGUGGCGAAGGCGGGUCUCUGGGCCGAAACUGACGCUGAGGAGCGAAAGCGUGGGGAGCGAACAGG